UACGAAGGGGGCUAGCGUUGCUCGGAAUCACUGGGCGUAAAGGGCGCGUAGGCGGCCAUUCAAGUCAGGGGUGAAAGCCUGUGGCUCAACCACAGAAUUGCCUUUGAUACUGUUUGGCUAGAGACCGGAAGAGGUAAGUGGAGCUGCGAGUGUAGAGGUGAAAUUCGUAGAUAUUCGCAAGAACACCAGUGGCGAAGGCGGCUCUCUGGGACGGUACUGACGCUGAGACGCGAAAGCGUGGGGAGCGAACAGG
rnacentral:rRNA from 1 species